rnacentral:lncRNA from 1 species
UCUUUGGUCCUAAGGACUAGUUUAUAAAUAAUUUAUUUUAUAAAUAGGUCCUUGGUGUCAAGAACUAAUUUAUAAGUUAUUUUAUAAAUAGGUCAUCGGUGUUGAACUUAUCAGCGUCAAUGACCAAUUUGUAAAAUAAGUUAUUUAUAAAUAGGUCAUCAAUGUUAGUCUCUUUGGUAACAACUCUUUCCAUGUCAGCGCUCGGCUAUCACAGAGCUAAGAAUAUCGACACAUGUGUCAUUGGCACAAAGAUGUUGGACCUCAACGCCAAUUACUCUAACACAAAGAAAAAUAUUCAUUCAUGAACAAUUUAAGGAUCUAUUUAUAAACGAAAUAAGUUUUUAAAAAGGAUAUCAAUGUAAUGUGUGAGGACAACCGAUAGGAGAAAGAACAUCACAAGAGCACCAAUAGGG